rnacentral:rRNA from 1 species
UACGGGGGGGGCAAGCGUUGUUCGGAAUUACGGGGCGUAAAGGGCUCGUAGGUGGCCAACUAAGUCAGACGUGAAAUCCCUCGGCUUAACCGGGGAACUGCGUCUGAUACUGGAUGGCUUGAGAUUGGGAGAGGGAUGCGGAAUUCCAGGUGUAGCGGUGAAAUGCGUAGAUAUCGAGAGGAACACCUGCGGCGAAGGCGGGUAGCUGGGCCGACACUGACGCUGAGGCGCGAAAGCCAGGGGAGCGAACGGG